rnacentral:rRNA from 1 species
GAACGAGUUGGAAAGCUCAGCCGGAGACUGUGAUAGCCAGGUAUGCGAAAACGACGCUGACCUUAUUCUGUAUUCUCGAGUAGGUCGGGGCACGAGAAACCCUGAUUGAAUCCGGCUGGACCACCAGCCAAGGCUAAAUAUAGUAUAUGAUCGAUAGUGAACUAGUACGGUGACGGAAAGGUGAAAAGAACCCCGGGAGGGGAGUGAAAUAGAACCUGAAAUUUUGUGCCUACAAGGAGUCGGAGCCCAGCACCUUUGAAAUCGAGUGGUACAAUGUAGACAGAUGUUCUACGUGUACGUUUUGCAAAGUGAUCGGGAAUCAGAUCAAAUUUACUUCGGUCAGACCAGUGACUUAAGACGACGUCUCUCGGAGCAUAAUUCCGGUAAGGAUACUUAUACCAAGAUAUAUGCGCCAUGGAAGGUUGUCUACUAUGAAGCCUAUUCAUCACGUAAGCUAGCGAUGGCCCGUGAGAGGCAGUUGAAAGCUUAUGGACAAGCCAGGACUGCUCUGAAGAAGAGACUAAAUUUGAUCUGAUACUCGAUUUCAAAGGUGCUGGGUGACGGCGUGCUUUUUGUAGAACGAUCCAGCGAGUUAAUUUUUACGGCGAGGUUAAGUCAGAUGAUGAAGCCAUAGUGAAAGCGAGCAUUAACAGUGCGAUUUAGUCGUAAGGAUUAGACCCGAAACCAGGUGACUUAACCAUGAGCAGGUUGAAGCAACCUUAAUCGGUUGUGGAGGACCGAACCAGUGUAUAUUGCAAAAUGCUUGGAUGACUUGUGGUUAGCGGUGAAAUGCCAAUCGAACUUGGAGAUAGCUGGUUCUCCGCGAAAUAGUUAUAGGACUAGCGUCGUGUGAUAGCUUACGGGGGUAGAGCUCUGUCAAGAGAUAGGGGGAGCAAUCCUACCUACUCUUAAUAAACUACGAAUACCGUAUGUCUGUAUCACGGCAGUUAGAACGUCGGUGCUAAGAUCGGCGCUCAAAAGGGAAACAGCCCAGACCAUCAUCUAAGGUCCCCAAAUUUACGCUAAGUGGGAAACAAGGUGGAAUUUCUUAAACAGCUAGGAUGUUGGCUUAGAAGCAGCCAUUCAUUUAAAGAGUGCGUAACAGCUCACUAGUCAAGAGAUUUUGCGUGGAAAAUGUAACGGGGCUAAAGUGUUAAACCGAAGACAUGGACUUCUGCCUAUGCAGGAGUGGUAGAGGAGCGUUGAUAUCGCAGUGAAGUCAGAUUGGAAAGUCUGGUGGAGCGUUAUCAAGUGAGAAUGCUGGAAUUAGUAACCUUAAGACAGGUGAGAAUCCUGUCGGUCGUAAGAGCAAGGUUUCCAGGGCUACAGUAAUUGCCCCUGGGUUAGUCGGUCCUAAGCCGAGGCGUAUCAGCGUAGGCGAUGGACAACAGGUUAAUAUUCCUGUACAGGUAGUAGUUGUGAACAGUUCACGGUGAAUGACUGGAGCGGAUUAAUGGUUUAUCCGUCCAAGUCUUUAGGGAACUAAAGAUGAGUGAAAGGUAAUCUUCGGAUUAUUGAUUCUGGGUGAAGCACUGGCUAGAAAAGCUGGUUCACUUAUGCUGCUGCCUACCGUACCGCAAACCAACACCGGUGCUCGGGUCGAGUAGACCAAGACCUACGUGAGAACCUUCGCUAAGGAACUCGGCAAAAAAGCGUCCGUAACUUCGGAAUAAGGACUGCCCUCUCAUUAAGAUGAGGAUUUGCUAGAAACUCAGCAGAAGAUUCAGAUUACCUUUUAACUGAAUUUUUCGUUGAGACAGAACACAAAACAGGAUUUGUUUAACAAAUUCGUGUCUUUUCUAGUAGUCUAAUCGUCAUUUUGAUGAGAGGGCCGCAGCUAAAGAGCCCACGGAACUGUUUACCAAAAACAUAGGUCUCUGCUAACGCGAAAGCGGAUGUAUAGGGGCUGACUCCUGCCCGGUGUCGGAAGGUUAAGGGGAGAGCUUUACGGUUCGAACUGAAGCCCCGAUGAACGGCGGCGAUAACUAUGAUCGUCCUAAGGUAGCGAAAUUCCUUGUCUGGUAAGUUCAGACCCGCACGAAUGGAGUAAUCAUGUGGGCACUGUCUCGGCGAAGGCCACGGUGAACGUGCAUUGGCGGUAAAGAUGCCGUCUGAUCAUGCCAGGACGAGAAGACCCCAUGGAGCUUUACUACAACUUUGCAUUGAUUAUUGGGACAUUUUGUGUAGAAUAGGUGGAAGACUUUGAAGCAGAUACGCUAGUAUUUGUGGAGUCGAAAUAUGAAAUACCACCCUGAAUGUUUUAGUAAUCUCACUUUUGACCUGAUCGGCCAAAAGGACCGUGCAUGGCGGGUAGUUUAACUGGGGCGGUUGCCUCCUAAAGAGUAGCGGAGGCGUUCAAAGGU